rnacentral:rRNA from 1 species
GACGAACGCUGGCGGCGUGCCUAAUACAUGCAAGUAGAACGCUGAAGGAGGAGCUUGCUUCUCUGGAUGAGUUGCGAACGGGUGAGUAACGCGUAGGUAACCUGCCUGGUAGCGGGGGAUAACUAUUGGAAACGAUAGCUAAUACCGCAUAACAGUAGAUAUCGCAUGAUAUCUACUUGAAAGGUGCAAUUGCAUCACUACCAGAUGGACCUGCGUUGUAUUAGCUAGUUGGUGAGGUAACGGCUCACCAAGGCGACGAUACAUAGCCGACCUGAGGGGGUGAUCGGCCACACUGGGACUGAGACACGGCCCAGACUCCUACGGGAGGCAGCAGUAGGGAAUCUUCGGCAAUGGACGGAAGUCUGACCGAGCAACGCCGCGUGAGUGAAGAAGGUUGUCGGAUCGUAAAGCUCUGUUGUAAGAGAAGAACGAGUGUGAGAGUGGAAAGUUCACACUGUGACGGUAUCUUACCAGAAAGGGACGGCUAACUACGUG